CGGGCGACAUUUUUAAACUCGGACCGGUUAGCUGGUGAGCGCUCCGGUACAUUGGGUCGGCACCAGGUAAAGGGAGCCAGGAGGGCGCUGUGUCCGCUGCUCUGAGGAAAGGCUGAGGCUCCGCGUGGGCGCCAUCCGGCCUGACUCUGUCUCGGGGCCGGGAGGGGCCUCCGUGCCCGGGGCCCACCAUUGCCCACAGACUCCACUGGGACGGCCACGCCGAUGGGUGCGAUUCAGGGCACACUGUGCAGCUAGCAGGAUCUUAGUUCCCAGACCAGGGAUCGAAAUUGAACCCAUGGCAGUGAAAGCUCCAAGUUUUAACCACUGAACCACCAGGGAAUUCUGAGAUUCAUUUUCAGUGUGAAGUCAACAAAUGGUGUUUCCCUUCUCUACUGCAGGAGAAAAAAGCAGGUUCCACAUUCAGCAGAACCACUUAUGGACCCUGCACUGGGCUCUGUGACCUUUGAGGACGUGGCUGUGUACUUUUCCCAGGAGGAAUGGAAGCUUCUUGAUGAGGCCCAGAGAUUCCUGUACCGCGAUGUCAUGCUGGAGACCUUUGCACUUGUUGCAUCAUUGGGACUUUCAUCUUCUAGGUCCCAUGUUGUCCAGCUGGAGCUGAGAGGAGAACCUCGGGUACAUGACAGAGUGGACAUGACUCCAGACAGAGCAAGAGGGGCUCAAAUUGGGCCUGGACCUGGGUGUUGGUAUAUAGCAGAGAACAAGCAGACACCUUCUGAGCAGAAUGUUUCUGUAGAAGUGCCACAAAUAAAUACUUCAGAGGCAGACCUGUCCACUCUGAAGUCCUAUCCCUGGGAGAGGUGCUGCCUGUACUUAGAAGGUGGUUUGCAUCUAGCUGAGGACCUUGGCACAAACCCUGGCCAGAAACUCUGCGGGGCAGGUGUGCAGUUUCACCAGCACAGUGGAGAGGAACUCUUUAGAAGAGACGUGGGUAAGACCUUUAUGAAGAGCCGCACCGUCCAGGCAUCCAAGAAGUCUUUCAUAUUCCAGGAGCCUGGGAAAGAUUUCCCUUGUAGCUCUGGCCUUCUCCAGCACCAGGUCACUCCACAAAAGGACACCGAGUUUGUAGAGGCCUUUCACAAUGGAGAAAAGCGUUACAAGUGCAGUGAAUGUGGGAAAGCCUUCUGCCGUAAAUACAGGCUUGCUCAGCACCAGAGAGUCCACACUGGAGAAAGGCCUUAUGAAUGCUGUGAAUGUGGGAAAGUCUUUAGAUGCAACUCCAACCUUGUUAUACAUAGAAGAAUUCACACUGGGGAAAGGCCUUAUGAGUGUAGAGAAUGUGGGAAGUUCUUUAGGCAAAACGCCCAACUUAUUGUGCACCAGAGAAUUCACACUGGAGCCAAGCCUUACGAAUGCAGUGAAUGUGGGAAAACCUUCAUUACUAAAAGCAAACUUGUUCAGCACCAGAGAGUCCACACUGGAGAGAGACCUUAUGAAUGUGGAGAAUGCAGAAAAGCCUUUACCUAUAAACGCAUGCUUGUUCAGCAUCAGAGAGUCCACACUGGAGAGAGGCCUUAUGAGUGCAGUGAAUGUGGGAAAGUCUUUAGGUACAUCGCCAGCCUCAUUAAACAUAGAAGAAUUCACACUGGGGAAAGGCCUUAUGAGUGUAGUGAAUGUGGGAAGUCCUUUAGGCAAAGGGCCCACCUUCAGGUCCACCAGAGAAUUCACACUGGAGCAAAGACUUACAAGUGCAGUGAAUGUGGGAAAUGUUUUAGCCAAAACUCUAUUCUCACUACACACCAGAGAGUUCACACUGGUGAAAGGCCUUAUAAGUGCAGUGAAUGUGGAAAGUGUUUUAGCCAAAGCUCUACUCUUAUUAAGCACCAGAGUUCACAUUGGAGAAAAACCAUAUGAGGAGAACCCUGAGGAGAAUUCUGUAGCCAAAGCAUCCAGCUUACUCAACACCGAAAAGCUCACACCCCAGAAAGGCCUCAUCAGUGCAGCAAAUGUGGAAAAGUUUUCUGUCAAAGGUCUGCUCUGACUGAGCACUAGAAACUUCACAGCUCAGACAGACCCUAUGAGUACAGCAAAUGUAGGAAAGCUUUCAGCCAAAGGUCUUACCAUAUUCAAUACCAGAAAGUUCAGUUGGAGAAGGGCCUUCAAAUGAUAUGAGGAGAGCAGCCAAUGAGCUGUCUCCUUAGUUAAUACAUCAUACUGAAUAGACUCUCUGAGGAAGUCAUCAACUGGAAAUUGAAUGCCAUACAUCUGAACAGCCCUCGUGUGCAGAUUGCCUAUGAGUACCGGCUUCAUAGGAAGCUUUUCAGGAGCUACGCUCUACUUUCUUACCUGUGCAAGGCCCUUGCUGGACUCAAUAUCACUGUUUCGGAAACAUCUGAAAUAUUAUGGCUGUGUCUCUGUGAUCAGCGAAGACUACAUUCCACGGAAAUCUGGGUUCGUCUCCUUUAAGAAGCGUGAAGCCCCGCCCCCGUCCUCAGAGCCUCCAGGACAACUUCCCAGGAGCCCCGGCAGUGAGGCGGGGCUUUUCCUGUAGGCGGGGAGCACCGCCUCUUGCCAGGUUCUAGAGGCCUGUGAACUGCAUUACCCGGAAAAAAACUACGCCAGUUCGUGGGCCAAUGAAGGCUCAGGAAAGAGCCACUUCCGUUCUAGAGGACGGAGUCUGGGCAGCUUUUCCGGCGUCGACUGAGGUCGUUAUUUUGUAAAGUCGGCUGUGUUCACAGGCGGGGAACUUCGCAACGCUGUGAAGGCCAGAGGUCAGGGAGCCAGGAAGGCGCCGUGCCCGCUUCUCUGAGCUUCGUCUGAGGCUCGGCGUGGGCGCCAUCCGGCCUGUCUUGGGCGGUUGGUGCCGCCGUGCCCGGGCCCCACCUUCGCCCACAAACUCCGCUGGCGCCGGCGCAGAUAUGUCGGAUUCAGAGUCUUCUCCAAUAUAGGUCAUUACAGAGUACUGAGUAGAGUUCCCUGUGCUAUAAAGUCUUAGUUGCGGCACACGGGCUCAGUUGCCCCACCACGGUAUGUGGGAUCUUAGUUCCCUGACCAGGGAUCAAACCUGCAUCCCCUGCAUUGGAAGGCAGAUUUUUAACCACUGGACCACCAAGGGAAGUUCCUGAAUAAUAUAUAUUUUAGUGGAAAAUCAUAAAUGAUUAAGAUAUCUUGUUAAAAUACUUGUUUUAAGGGUGAUAAAAUGAAUCAUUGUAAGUGUAAAAAGUUAUAAUGCUUUGUGAAUCCUUAGCAAGAUGUUAAGAACUCAAGACGGUAUUUCUGUGUUUCUACAAUGCGGAUGGACUAGAGGUCAAGUCCUGUAUAGCCUGUUGCAGUUCUCUUAAAUUUAAAGAGUCAGCAAUGAUGCCCAGUUAUCCCCAACUGCUGGAGGCCAAGCACUUUUACUCUGAUUCUGGCAAGAAACCCCUUUUUCAGAGAGUCAUUUUCAAUGUGAAUUCAGUAAAUUGUGGUUCAUGAUCUCUACCCCUGGAGAAGAAAGCUAGUAGGAAAUUACAGAUAGUCUCUCUGAACAGGUAUGGAAAUUUAAAAAAGGAUAUAUCAAAGAAUAUGGUGGAUUAGUAUAAAAAGUACAUAUUCUUGAAUCCUAUUAUGUAAUGUUAGCAUAAUUCCAAAUCAGAAUUUAAUCUAUGGAUUAUGUAAGGUGGAGUUUUUUAUAAAAUAAUUUUUACUAUAACCAAAGAACCAUUUCCUCCCCAACACAAUCCCUUAUUCUUCUGGCUCACUGGGCUCCAGUCACACUAGCCUCAUGGAUGCUGCUCAUACACACCAGGCAUGACUCUGAUAGGCUUGGCACUUUUUUGUCCUACUUCUGGACAGCCUUAAGGUAUCCACAUGGCCUUAUGGCACAACUCUAUAACAUUUUCUGCCCUAUUUUACACGCUUUAUUUUUCUCUUGAGUAUUUGUCUUUGCCUGAAAUAUUAAAUGGUUCACUCAUUAAUGUUUCACAUUCAGCAGAACCACUUAUGGCCCCUCCACAGGUGUCAGGUGUCUUUGCGGAGUUGGUGUCUGUAGACCCUAGGUUUUAUGGACAGAUUCCCAUUUUUGGCAGCCAGUAGACUGAGACAUGAAAGGUUGUCUUAGUAAUGGGGCUAGUACAUACCAAAUGCUUGAGGAUGUGAUUGAGAUGGGAGAGAGCAAGGGGGCCAGAGUUAGAAUGGUAGGAUGAGGUUUCUGUUCUGAGAAUGAUGGCAGACAUGUAAGAUAUGAGGAGGUCCAGUGAGUAAUAUGCAUGUGGGGAAAGUGUGUGAAGUAAUUGCCCCAGGCCCUAGUACUAGGAGUAUAAGAGAAGGAUGGGGCUAAGUUUGCUUUUGUCUGGGAGCCAUGAUAGUGGGUACACUCAGGCUGUUGUCUUGGAGGAAAGGGCCCGGGCCCUGCAGGGCCCUCACAGAUUAGAUAGUAUCUAUCUGUCCACCUGCCUGUUGUUGCUCAGGGUUGUACAUACUGAUCAAGGAAGCAUGAAGAGUUAUUGGGCCCCACUGCCCUCUAAGUCACGGAGCUGAGGUGGAUGAUGAACCCAGAGUGAGUAGGGGCUGGGGUUAGAAGUACUUAUGGGGUCCUGGGGAGAGAGGCUGCUUAUGUACAAAUCUGUCCCAUCAUCACAGGGGCCUGUGACCUUUGAGGAUAUGGCUGUGUACUUUUCCCAGGAGGAAUGGAAGCUUCUUGCUGAGGUCCAGAGAUUCCUGUCCUGUGAUGUGAUCCUGGAGCCCUUUGCACUUGUAUCAUUGGGUUGUUGGCAUGGAGCAGUGCACAAGGAGAUAAAUUCUGAGCAGAAUGUUUCUGUAGAAGUGCCAUGAAUAAAUAGUUCAGAGACCUAUCCAUUCGAAAAGUCCUGUCCCUGGAAGAUGUGUAGCCUGGCCUUAAACAGUAAGUUUGCAUCUAGCUGAAGACCUGGGAACAAUUCCUGGCCAGAAACUGUCAGGUGUGAAAUUUCACCAGCACAAUGGAAGGAAACUCUUUAGAAGAGACAUGGGUAAGGCCUUUAUGAGGAGCCACAUAGUCCAUGCAUCCAAGAACUCUUUCGCAUGCCAGGAGGCUGGGAAGGAUUUCCCUGGUAGCUCUAGCCUUCUCCAGCACCAGGUCACUCCACAAAAGGAUGCUGACUGCACUGUUUCACAAUGGUCAAAGUCUCUGUAAGUAAGUGCCAUGAAUGUGAAAGCCUACCCCGGGAUGUAUAGGCUUGCAGAGCAUGAGAGAGUCUGCACAGGAGAGAGGCCUUAAGAAGACAGUCACACUGGAGAAAAAAACCACAUGCAUGCACUAAAUAUGGAGAGUUCUUCAGCCAAAGCACCCAGCCUACUGAACACCAAAACAGGUCACACCACAGAAAAAGAUCAUAUGAGUGCAGCAAAUGUAAGAAAGCUUUCAGCCAAAGGUCUAUAACCUCAUCUGUCACCAGAGUUCAUACUGGAGAAAGGCCUUCAAAUGAGAGCAGCAAAUGAGCUGUCGCCUUAGUUAAUACAUCAUAAUGCCAUACAUCUGAACAGCCCUAGUGUGCAGAUUGCCUGUGAGUACGAGGUUCGUAGGAAGCUUUUCAGGGGCUAUGCUCUACUUUCUGACUUACUGUCACUGUGAGUUUCUUACCUUUUCCAAGUGGCAGAUCCCCAUAGUGGGAAUCAGUCAUCUAAGUGUGAUCAGGGUAGGUAGCCUUUUUUUUUUUUUUUGGCAGUACGCGGGCCUCUCACUGCUGGGGCCUCUCGCGCUGCGGAGCACAGGCUCCGGACGCACAGGCCCAGCGGCCAUGGCCCACGGGCCCAGCCGCUCCGCGGCAUCUUCCCGGACCGGGGCACGAACCCGUGUCCCCUGCAUCGGCAGGCGGACUCCCAACCUCUGUGCCACCAGGGAAGCCCGUAGGUAGCCUUUUGUGCUCUCGUAUCCCCUGUAGAAAAGCAUGGAUACCCUGAACACUUGGGUUUUGUCAUUCUCUUCCAUCAACUGGCUAGGACAGGACAGAGGAACAGGUUUUGUGGGUGUUCCAAACUUAGUAUACAUCAGUGGGGGUAGUAUCAUGGCAGAGAAUAGUUUUCACUCCAGUUCUGGUCCAUUUUGCGUUGUUGUCCAAGGCCUCCUGGGGUAGAGUGAAGGGCUCUCUGUGAGAUUAAAACAGGGAGUGAGAGACUACCAAAGAAGAAGGAAUAAAAUAUAAAGUUGCAUUCAUGUAUGUUCCCAUCACUGUGGCUGUUUUGCGUUAAGGUUUUUGCAGAAACCUCCUGAGCCCCAGUCAGUGUCAGACUGAAUAACAAAGGUUUUAGGAUUCCCUCAGCAUCUGCAAAUAGUUUAUCUCAAGGCCAUUUGUUGCACAGUGAAAACAAUGGGGAAUGAGCGUGGAAGUCAUGUAGUACAGGCAUGUGAUUUUUAGGACCCAGGCAGAGUUCUUGGAUAACUUAAGUGGAAACACUUUUCAGGGACUCCCCUGGUGGCACAGUGGUUAAGAAUCCACCUGCUGCAGGGGACACGGGUUCAAGCCCUGGCCUGGGAAGAUCCCACAUGCCUCAGAACAACUAGGCCUGUGUGCCACAACUACCAGAGCCUGUGCUCUGCAACAAGAGAGGCCACCACAAUGAGAAGCCCACACACCACAACAAAGAGUAGCCCCCUGAUCACCACAACAAAGAGUAGCCCCCUGAUCACUGCAGCUA